UGUUCCUCCAGCUGUUUCCUGUCUACAGUGUCUGUAAUGUAGAUAAAUGUGAGGAUUUUCUCUAAAUCCCUCUUCUGUUUGCUAAAUCUCACUGUCACUGCUAAAAUCAGAGCAGAUCGAGCCUGCGCAAUGGAAUAAAAGUCCUCAAUACCGAAAUGUAAAUUGCUCUCAACAUCUCACCUCUCUCUGGAUUUCUUUUUCUUUUUUUUUCUCUCACCCCUUCAUUAUUUCUGCUAACCAAUUCAUUUCCAGAGUUUGCACUUAAGAAGCAAUGGGGAAAAUCAACAGUCUUUCAACACAAUUAUUUAAGUGCUGCUUUUGUGAUUUCUUGAAGGUGAAGAUGCUCACUGUGUCCUACGUUCAUCUUUUCUACUUCGGUCUAUGUUUGCUUACGUUAACCAGUUCAUCUGCUGCUGCUGGCCCAGAGACACUUUGCGGUGCGGAGCUAGUGGAUGCGCUUCAAUUUGUCUGUGGAGAAAGAGGUUUUUAUUUCAGUAAACCAGCUGGCUAUGGAGGCAAUCGACGACCACCUCCUAACAAAGGAAUAGUGGAUGAAUGCUGUUUCCAGAGCUGUGAUCUGAGACGGCUGGAGAUGUACUGUGCUCCGGUCAAGCCACCUAAAUCUGCACGAUCUGUACGUGCUCAGCGCCACACUGAUAUGCCUAAAGCACAAAAGGAAGUGCAUUUGAAGAACACAAGUAGAGGAAACACAGGAAACAGGAACUACAGAAUGUAAGAAAAUACCAUCCGUAAGAGUGAAGAUUGAUCGUGCCAUCUGCAGGAUACUUUGCUCCCAAUCCCCAAAGCGCUCCGCCGGCACAAGCCCCAUUGAGGACUGGAGCCUUACAAGGAACUUGCCUGCAACAAACUUACAUAUGGGCAAGUUUCCUUACACUAUACAGUAUAUGAGAACAACUUUUACUCUGAGGCGUGACUCUGAUGCAUUCCUAACCAAGUCCAAUGAUGAAAGCCCAUUGUGACCCAAGGAGAAUAAUGAAGCAACCGAAGCAACAAACUGGUGUAUUAUAACAUAUAUUUUUUCCAAAUAGAUUUUGCUAGUCUAAAGCAAGAUUCUGUGGUGAUGAAAGAACCUAUAGCUUCAAAACAAGCAAACAAUAAUUGUGGCGGAUUUUAAUAGCACUGGGAGCAACUUUGGAGUCACACAUGCUUUUUAUCAGCACAACCCUGGAGUCUCAAGUAACUGAAGAGAAUACAAAUUUUCAGUAUCACCAGCCUCCAGCUAAUAAGUUUCUGCACAUUUCUAUGUUUUCUAGAAGCUAACAGGACCAAGGAGUGGGUGAUACCUAGAUAAAUGACCCUCGCCCUUACAGAAUGUCAUCAGUACACAUGGCUUAUAUUCUUUUUUGACUUAGCUGUCCAAGUGCUAAAUGUUGAGAUUAAUAUUAAUUUGUUUCUUCCAGUAUUAUGGCUGGCCUGCCUACUUAGGCUGAAGACAGAGAUGGGAAGGGCUUGAGUUUUUGGAUUGCAGCUCCCAAAAUAUCCUGGCUAGCAGUUCAGUGGAUAUGCUGGCUCGGGGGCUGCAAUCCAAAACAAAGUGAAAUAGACUAUCCCCGUCUCUGAUUAAGGGUAUGAUCAACAUCAUGGAUCAGAAAUAAUGCAUGCCUGAAUUUCUAAAGACUCCCUGUUGAAACCUCUUCUUCCAUUCAUGUAAACAAGCCAACAAACCAAGAACCACGAUGAGAAGAAAUAUUUACUCACAGUCUACCAUGUCAGCUCUCAUUAUCUUAAACCUACAAUUCUCAAAGCACUCUGAUGGCGCACGUCCUGCCAAGGCAAAUGGGCAAUGCACCAGCACAACGCUUUGCAGAUUGGGCUGUAAAUCUUUGGCUGUGUAUCAUUUUAAUUUUUCCCUGUGUUUACUCAAAAUGCAAACUGUCAUGACUUGAUGACAAGUAAAUAAUAUUUCAUACUAUGUAUGUAACAUCAAUGUGUUGCAGAACUCCUUGUCCCACGCCUACCACAAACACUUUCAUAGUCACUUGUCCUAUUAUUCUCCCCAUUUAGCACUUACUGGCUUUGAAUGGACACACAGGAUGUUUCAAACCAUGAAGGUCCUAAUUCCUACCAAAAGUGGAAAUAACAAUUCACAAGUCAGAACCAUUUAGGUCAUGUUCCCCAUUCUGUGUAAAUUCUCUAACCUGGUUCACUUUGUUCCAUAAACCAUUAAAGCUCUUUUAAUGCAUUUACCAAGGUAGGCCUGAAAGAUCUCAAGAACUGUCUGAUUUUUACUGCUUAUUUCUUUUUUCUAAAUCUUCAUUGAUUUCAAUUAAAGGGGAGGGGGCUCAGUUACACUGUAUUAAGUAAUGGCUACAACAACCUUUGGUUUGUAGAAAUGUACUGAAAUGUUUGCAGCCCUCUUGGGAUCCAGUCCAAAAUGUGAAGCAUUACUGUAAGAAGGUAUCUUUCCUAAUGUAUUUGUAUGUAUAGUUUACACCUCUGUGAGGUCUAAUAAAGAAAAAUGGUUAAUAAACAUCAACA